UACGAAGGGGGCUAGCGUUGUUCGGAAUUACUGGGCGUAAAGCGUGCGCAGGCGGUUAUUCAAGUCAGAGGUGAAAGCCCCGGGCUCAACCCGGGAAUGGCCUUUGAGACUGGAUAGCUAGAGUGUGAGAGAGGUGAGUGGAAUUCCCAGUGUAGAGGUGAAAUUCGUAGAUAUUGGGAAGAACACCCGUGGCGAAGGCGGCUCACUGGCUCGCAACUGACGCUCAGGCACGACAGCGUGGGGAGCAAACAGG
rnacentral:rRNA from 1 species